rnacentral:tRNA from 1 species
GGGCUGCCGGAAUAAAGGCGACAGACUGUAAAUCUGUUCAGUUUCACUGUACGGCGGUUCGAAUCCGUCCCUGCCCACCA